UACGGGGGGGGCAAGCGUUGUUCGGAAUUACUGGGCGUAAAGGGCUCGUAGGUGGCCAACUAAGUCAGACGUGAAAUCCCUCAGCUUAACUGGGGAACUGCGUCUGAUACUGGAUGGCUUGAGUUUGGGAGAGGGAUGCGGAAUUCCAGGUGUAGCGGUGAAAUGCGUAGAUAUCUGGAGGAACACCGGUGGCGAAGGCGGCAUCCUGGACCAAUACUGACACUGAGGAGCGAAAGCCAGGGGGGCAAACGGG
rnacentral:rRNA from 1 species